GGGAGCAUGGCAAUUCAAGGAGAGGGUUUCUGCUCUUGUGCUGCCUUGGUGAGACGUAGAGUGAGCCCAGUACAGACCCUUUAAAACACUCAUUUACAUAUUUUAAAUAUUACAUUUACUUAGCUAAUCAUUAUUAGUUGUAUAGGCUGAUUAGCUGGAAUAGUCCAUAUGUCAGGAAUCCCUUCCCUAACAGGUCCAGAGGUCCUCUUUACAGGAUAAAGAAUAGACAGGCCUGGAUGAACAAAAAACAAAUGAAGCCAAAAAUAUUUAAUUGAGACAAC